rnacentral:rRNA from 1 species
UACAGAGGUCUCAAGCGUUGUUCGGAUUCAUUGGGCGUAAAGGGUGCGUAGGCGGCGCGGUAAGUCGGGUGUGAAAUCUUGGAGCUUAACUCCGAAACUGCAUUCGAUACUGCCGUGCUUGAGGACUGGAGAGGAGACUGGAAUUUACGGUGUAGCGGUGAAAUGCGUAGAUAUCGUAAGGAAGACCAGUGGCGAAGGCGGGUCUCUGGACAGUUCCUGACGCUGAGGAGCGAAAGCAUGGGGAGCGAACAGG